GUCUAUGGCCAUGCUACCCUGAACAAGCCUGAUCCUGUCUGAUCUCGGAAGCUAAGCAGGGUCGGGCCUGGUUAGUACUUGGAUGGGAGACCACCUGGGAAGACCAGGUGCUGUAGGCA
rnacentral:rRNA from 1 species